GACGAACGCUGGCGGCGUGCUUAACACAUGCAAGUCGAACGGAAAGGCCCUGCUUUUGUGGGGUGCUCGAGUGGCGAACGGGUGAGUAACACGUGAGUAACCUGCCCUUGACUUUGGGAUAACUUCAGGAAACUGGGGCUAAUACCGGAUAGGAGCUCCUGCUGCAUGGUGGGGGUUGGAAAGUUUCGGCGGUUGGGGAUGGACUCGCGGCUUAUCAGCUUGUUGGUGGGGUAGUGGCUUACCAAGGCUUUGACGGGUAGCCGGCCUGAGAGGGUGACCGGGGACAUGGGGAAUGAGGUACGGACCAGACGGAUACGUGGGGCAGAAGGGGGAAGCCUGGCACGAGGGUCGGAAGUCUGAUGCAGCGAUGCCGGGUGCGGGAAGAAGUUCUACGGGGUGGAAAGCGCAUUCACCUGUGACCAAGCGGGAGGGACGGUAAUGGGUAAAGAAGCACCGGCUAACUACGUG
rnacentral:rRNA from 1 species